rnacentral:lncRNA from 1 species
AGCAGGAAGGAGGCUUGAGGGGGCCGGCUCUGAGAGGCACAAGGCACAACCCAGGGAAAGGCCUCAGAAAAAGCCAGUGUUGCCAGGAAGAGGGAUGGAGGAAGCAAGAAGGAAAGAAUGAGCAAGAGGACCAUAAGGAGCAGAUGAGGAGAAACAUUGUACCAGCAACGCCCUGGCCCGGGCCUCAUCUGAGGGCCUGGUGGUGUGGAGGCAAAGGCGCUGCCCUGCAAGGUAGACGUGCUGGAGAUUUUCACCCUGCUUUACGGAAGAGGAAAUGGAGAGGAAGAGGAAAUGGCCAACCUGCAGGAGAGCGAAGCUGCAAAGAAAGGAAGGUCUUGAGGCCACCUGGCCAAGUCCUUUCAAGUCCCCAGAGGAAGGUUUAACUGGACCUAGAUAACUGAGAAGGUGGGUAAAAGAUCCUCAAACUUCUCAGAGAGGCGCAGUGAGAUAAUGACUUCUAAACAGAUGUAACCAGUUAAUUUUCCCUUUCUCUGUGUUCAUUGUGAAGCGUGUCACAAGCUGACAAGGAAAACACUCCAAGCCUCAGUGGUUUUCAGUGACCAUUAUCAGAUUGAGGCCUAAAGUCCCUGUGGGCAGGGCCAGGUGGAGGCCAGCCCAGGCCUAGGCCACAGAAUGGAAGGGCAGCAUGGUCUGUGUGGCCUUUCCCUCCACUCCACACUUAAACAGCCACUGCAGUUUGGGGUUUUUUUUCCUCUGCAGAUUGGACCCAGG